CCUACGGGAGGCAGCAGUGGGGGAUAUUGCACAAUGGGGGAAACCCUGAUGCAGCGACGCCGCGUGAGUGAUGAAGUAUUUCGGUAUGUAAAGCUCUAUCUGCCGGGAAGAAAAUGACAGUACCUGAACCAGAAGCCCCGGCUACCUACGUACCAGCAGCCGCGGUCAUACGUAGGGGGCCAGCGUUAUCCGGAUUUACUGGGUGGAAAGGGGGCGUAGACGGGUAUGUAAGACUGGAGUGAAAGCCCGGGGCCCAACCCCGGGACUGCUUUGGAAACUGUGUAACUGGAGUACAGGCGGGGCAGGCGGAAUUCCUGGUGUAGCGGUGAAAUGCGUAGAUAUCAGGAGGAACACCGGCGGCGAAGGCAGCCUGCUGGACUGAAACUGACGUUGAGGCUCGAAAGCGUGGGGAGCAAACAGGAUUAGAUACCCUAGUAGUC
rnacentral:rRNA from 1 species